CAGUCGCCGCGGUAAUACGGAGGGUGCAAGCGUUAAUCGGAAUUACUGGGCGUAAAGCGUGCGUAGGCGGUUCGUUAAGUCUGUUGUGAAAGCCCCGGGCUCAACCUGGGAAUGGCAAUGGAUACUGGCGAGCUAGAGUGUGUCAGAGGAUGGUGGAAUUCCCGGUGUAGCGGUGAAGUGCGUAGAGAUCGGGAGGAACAUCAGUGGCGAAGGCGGCCAUCUGGGACAACACUGACGCUGAGGCACGAAAGCGUGGGGAGCAAACAGGAUUAGAUACCCCUGUAGUCCCUGUCUCUUAUAC
rnacentral:rRNA from 1 species